rfam:Hafnia alvei FB1, complete genome.
ACUACAGCCUGAACACCACAACAAUUAUUACCACCACCGAUACGACAUGUAACGGGGCGGGCUGACGCGUACAGAAAAAGAGAAAGAAAAAAGCCCGCACCUAAACAGUGCGGGCUUUUUUUUA